rnacentral:lncRNA from 1 species
AAACACCAUUAAACCUCAGAGGAAGACGAUUAGUUUCACUGUGUGUGCUGAGCAGAGUCUCCCGAGGAGAGGCGAGCAGUUCACGCUCCUCCUCCCACAUGUUCACUAGUAGUGAAGCUCUGCCCACUGCAACACGUCAUCAGUGAAACUCCUCCUACAGUAAUUCAUCAAUAAAUGCUGGAAUAUCUCCAUCAGUUCACAAGUGAAGACGAGCAUCAACUCAUCAGGAAGAGCUGAAAUCUGCAAAGACUGAGUUUAUUAAAGAGGACAGAGAGAAGAUGAGAGAUCCAGAACCCUGCAGAAUCAAACACACUGAAGAUACUGAAGAACAAACAGAGUCAAUUGAAGAAAAUGAGGAGAAUGAUGAACUGAGUGAAGUUGAGGAGAAAAAUCAUGUCAAAACUGGAGAAAAACCCUUGAGCUGCUCUCAAACCAAACACCCAAAGAAAGAUUUAAAGAAAAAAAGAGACAAGAAAUCUUUCACAUGCACUCAGUGUGGAAAGAGUUUGACAAGCAAAUAUAAUCUUGAUGUUCACAUGAGAGUUCAUACUGGAGAGAAACC